GCUUACGGCCACACCGCCUGGUAUACGCUUGAUCUCGGAAGCUAAGGUAGGUUGGGCCUGGUUAGUACUUGGAUGGGAGACCGCCUGGGAAUACCAGGUGCUGUAAGCU
rnacentral:rRNA from 1 species